UGAUAAACCAAUUUCAUUACAUGCUUUGCCCCCUCACAUUUAUGUCUAUUUCCUUGAGGCCAAAGCCUCUUUUUUAUACUCUUGACAUGUAUCACUAAAUUGCUUUCCAAAAGCCUUGUGCCAGUUUAUACUGCCAAUCACUAUUUUAUUUUAUGUAAUUAAAAAGUUAUAGGUUAAAGACUAUUUCUCUUUGGCUUAUUUGGUAUUUCUUUUAUUAACAAAAACUCUGAACAGCUUUCCUUUGUUUCCAUUGUAGUUGAACUUCUUUGUUUUGGUGGUGAGUUUUUUGCUCAUCUACUUAUUGCAUCCUCAGUAUUUUUCAAGUUCUUUAUAUGACAUCUCUGGUUAAUAAGGAUAUUAACCAUUUGAGAGUGGUAGUUUUUAAAGGAUCUAACUAUACAAAAUGCUUACUUUUUCAGUGAAGAAUUAAUAUUAAGACACUUUCAAUCUGUAAAGAAUUGAAUUGUCAUGGUUUCAUCAGACCUGCGAAGACCCAGUAGGUGAUUUCAUGGCCUCAGUCAUGUUCUUAGAGGAAAUAUUGUUUAAGAUCACUGAGAGAUCCUGUAUUUAUUGACAUUGGAAAGUAGAUGUAUGAGAAAAUUAAUUGAUUGGUUAACAAUCAAUCAAUCUAUUGAGAUACAUUUAUGAAGGAGUUAAGAUAAAAAUGCCUGUGAGAAAACUUAGUUUUAAUUAUUUUACUCCAUACAUAUAAUCAUAUAAUUUUAAAGAGAUAUUGCCAUUAAUGAACAAACUUAGAGAAAACUGUAUUGAGAAAUUUAACCCACCAAACAUGGAAUUGUUGUUAAAAUGCAUUUUAAAUAAUGCAUUUUCCAAAUAACUACUCUUUAUUUUUUCAUAUUCUUUUUAAAUAUAGGGUGGACCAGGAGGAGUUUUCAGAGGAGUCUGUGAUAGGAGCUUUGUAACUCCAGGACAUGUUGAGCUCUAGGUAAAUGAUGGUACAGUAUCGUGGGCAGAAGGCAAUUAUGAGCAGCAUUCAAGGACAAAGGAGAAAGAAAAGCAGCAAGACCCUUCUCCCAGACUGCAGAAGGCGAAAAGCAACUGCAGGAAGAGUGGGAGGCACGUGGUGGAGGCCUGUGACAUCCAAUGCAAGAACCAAAAGAUGUACAGCUGUUGAUGAAGGAAGGGAAUGCUGUUUAGUGUGGGUGGAGAAACAGUAUCUUCGGAAAGGAAAGCUGGAUCCUGGCAGGAAGGAAAUUCAGAUCAUAUGA
rnacentral:lncRNA from 1 species